AACCUUUCAAGCUUCUAUGCUCCAACGUUAGAAAUUAAUCAGGAUUGCAAUAGAGCCCUCGUCCAUGGGCUUGAACGCCGCCUUUGCCUCUGUAGGCGGAAACACCCAGUCAUCGAAGACGCCUACACACCCAGCCAGCCUUGAGAAGUGAUGUUACAGGGUUGUUUGGCUGGAGCCGGAGACGAACAUGGCGGAGGCGACCAUCAACAAUUUGUCAAUGGCAGGAGCCUACAACAACUGGAGCGGAGCUGUGCGUGCUGGAGAUCGAGGCGAUCCUGGCGUCCUGGGCAGCGAGGAAGAGGAUCGAGAAG